GACAGAGGUGCCGAGCGUUAGGCGGAAUCACUGGGCUUAAAGCGUGUGUAGGCGGGCGGGCAAGUACCUUGUGAAAUCCCACGGCUCAACCGUGGAACGGCUGGGCAUACUGGCGAUCUUGGGCCAACUAGGGGCAACUGGAACAAGCGGUGGAGCGGUAAAAUGCGUAGAUAUCGCUUGGAACGCCAAAGGUGAAAACAGGUUGCUGGGGUUGUGCCGACGCUGAGACACGAAAGCCAGGGGAGCAAACGGG
rnacentral:rRNA from 1 species